AAUUAUUAAAAUUGAUUUUAAAUUAAUUCUUGCAACAUUAGUCAAGUAUUUUAUUAUUGGCAAGUAUUUGUAUUGUUAUUAAUAAAUAAUAAACAACUUCAGUAGUUGAGAAUAUGUUAAAAAAUUAAGACCGAUGUUGAAUCAUCUGAGAGAGGUAAAUUUGUAUGUUAAACAAGUAGACAUGUUAACAUCUUAAUUCUAGAAAUCUUAACACAAAUUUCAUGUUAUCAUAAAAUGAAAUUUUAAUUCAUGCUUAUUACUUUCAUAGAAUUUCCAGAACUGGAACUUUGAGUGAUGAGGCACAUGUGUAACUACUUUAUAUAACAGAUGCUAUGUUUCUAACCUUUACAAAGUUCUCACUGUACUUGUAUUUAAACCUUUAUAUGAAACACAAUAAGCCCAAACCACCUUAUUCACACUGGAAUAAAGAUUUGCCAAUUUAUUUAUCUUACCAGAAUUACUAGUGUUUUUUUUUAACUUGUGCUUAACAAGGUUGAAAUAUAUUUUUACCUCUGAUAUUUUCAAACUAUCUAAUUUAAUUCAUAAAAUAGCUAUAAACCAUAAAAACAGGGGCUGAGAUAUUCCGUAAACCUAAAAGAAUACAUGUGAAUGUGAAAGUAUGAAGAACCCAUCAGGCUGACAUUGCAGUGACUUAACUGAGAAUGUGUUUAAUUGAAAUCUGUGGUGGCUUCUUUGUACCACUGGUUCUGUUUCUGUGCUUCUGGCAGCUGUGGGUUCAGGAACUCUCCAAAGCAAGUGCUUAGAACGUUGUGAUGUCUGAACUUUUAGGACAAACAGAAAAAAAUAAAAUAAAGUUACUCUUGUCCUUGAUCUAGUGAAUAAACUGAAUAUAGGAUUUGGCUUUAUUCACUAAUUCAAUCUUAUUAACCUUUUAUAGGUUCCUCAUGGUUUUAUACAUAUGUAUAAUGUGGGAUAAUGGAACAAAGUUAAUCUCUCUAUGUACAUAUCUGUAUAUAAAGUUACAUAUAUAUAUAUACAUAUAUAUAUAUAUAAACAUUCAGUAAAGAAAUCAGCUUAAUAGUUCAUCAGUUCUUGCAGUGACAAAAAAAUAGUCUGAAAUCAACUAUAACAAUUGUGAGAAUGGAAACUGCAAGCUAAAGUAACUCAUGUACCACAGAUCCAAAUAAUGACAAUGGACACAUCAAAUUUAAUGAUGAAAAAUAAAUCAUCAAAAACAAUCACUUAGAAACUAUUCUAUCAUUAAAUUAUUAAGUAAUAAGAUUAUUUAGCAGACUUUUAGACAGCAUGUCUGUUGGGAUCAGAAUGGCUCUGACCCCUCUAAGAUUGCCUCCACCUCCCCUGUUCUGAGUGUGCUGAGGUCAGGCUGUUCUGCGGAUGUUUUGCUGUUUGGUAUAUCUCCUAGUUUGGCAGCUGUGGCUUCUUGGGGCAUACUGACCAUUCCUUGACCCUGGGUGCUUGAUAAACAAUUUUGUUUGUUUCCUCCUGAAAGGGUAUAUAAGAUGGGGAAGAAAGAAUAAAAGGGUCCUGAUGCUUGCAACUUGACUGAUGUGUGCUGUGUUCAUAUCGACUUCCCUCGCCAGGUUUCGGUCCCAAUUGCCAUGAAGGCACCGCACAAGUCAACCAAGAAAUCAUAAUUAUCAUCACAUAGGCUCACACUUAGGCAACUAUGCUGGUGAAACUUCAUGGGUGUCGCUUCCGAGAUUCUAGAAGACACAAUCUCACAGCUAAUUCACUGUAAGGCCAAUCAACAGCAGCCUUUCAUUGUGUUACGUGUUUGGAAAAGUUGACACUGACCGAGGUUGUGAAGACAAGGCAAGACAUGUUCUGAAGAGAUCAUCGCUUUCAACCUCCAGGUCCCAUGACUGUCUUUCAAACAACAACACUGAAACCUAUAACUACUAAAAUCAGCCACUUAAUUUUUACUUAUCUUCAAAGGACCAUUUCCUAAAGUUAAUGAAAACAAAAUACAAUCACAAUGAUGGUUUGUUUAAGUGAUGAUCUAAUUACUUUAUAGAAAAUUACCUUCCUUCCUUAAAACAGCGUGAAGCUGCCAAACCCACUGCUGUAGUGAGGAGCCUCAUGCUAUUUGGCUUCUGGGCUCCAUCUGUGUCUGCCUGCAUCUGCUUUCAUCCUCCUCAAACUCCUCUCCAAAGGAGCACAGAGAAUCUGCAAUUCAUGUCAGGGCAGCCAGCCAGAUUAGAAGCUGCCAACAACAUCAGGUUUUGUGAGAAGAAUUAAGUUACUUAAGCAUUCUCUGCAGCAUAGCCAUAGUGCUGCUGGAUGCAAGCUUAUGCCGCUUGAGUCUGUAUUUCCACCCUGCUGCGAAAAGAUAAUUUAGAAGUGACAGAGUGAGGUUAUGAUGUGAUUUGGACAUUUUACAGUGACCUAACCUUUUCAAAUGUUCUUCUCACUGUCUGUUUAUGUUGAUAGUACAUUUUGAAAACGCCCCCUCCCUUUUUGAGGCUGUUGUUGAAGGGUUUUAACAGGCCCAAACGUGUAAACAUGGUGCCAGCUGGUCCUGCCCUUCCCCCUUCUCUUUCUGAAAAACCACUAGAGCCCCUGCUGGACUCC